GGAAACAGCGGUUAGGAGCUUACACCCACCCGUGUUUACAUACUAUUGUUGCUUUGGCGGGCCGUGGCCUCCACUGCGGGCUCUGCUCGUGUGUGCCCGCCAGAGGACCAAACUCUGAAUGUUAGUGAUGUCUGAGUACUAUCUAAUAGUUAAAACUUUCAACAACGGAUCUCUUGGUUCUGGCAUCGAUGAAGAACGCAGCGAAAUGCGAUAAGUAAUGUGAAUUGCAGAAUUCAGUGAAUCAUCGAAUCUUUGAACGCACAUUGCGCCCUGUGGUAUUCCGCAGGGCAUGCCUGUUCGAGCGUCAUUUAACCACUCACGCCUAGCGUGGUAUUGGGGCACGCGGUCUCGCGGCCCUCAAAAUUAGUGGCGGCGCCGGUGGGCUCUAAGCGUAGUACAUACUCCCGCUAUAGAGUUCCCCCGGUGGCUCGCCAGAACCCCCAAUUUUUUACAGGUUGACCUCGGAUCAGGUAGGGAUACCCGCUGAACUUAAGCAUAUC
rnacentral:rRNA from 1 species